CAAAAGCUUGGUCCUGACUUUUAUGUCAACUCUGGUUAGAUUUAUACAUGCAAGUAUCCGCAUCCCUGUGAGAAUGCCCUACUUAUUUCCCCCACGAAAUAAAGGAGCAGGUAUUAGGCACAACUUCAGUUAGCCCACAACGCCUUGCUUAGCCACACCCCUAAGGGAACUCAGCAGUAAUAAACAUUAAGCAAUGAGUGUAAACUUGACUUAGUUAAAACCAAGAGGGCCGGUAAAACUCGUGCCAGCCACCGCGGUUAUACGAGAGGCCCAAGUUGACAAAUGCCGGCGUAAAAUGUGGUUUAUACAGUAUUGCACUAAAGCUAAACUUCUUCAAAGCUGUCAUACGCACUCGAAGAAAAGAGGACCUUCCACGAAAGUGGCUUUAAAUAAUAUUAACCCACGAAAGCUAGGAAACAAACUGGGAUUAGAUACCCCACUAUGCCUAGCCCUAAACACAAGUGACUACUUACACCCCUCGCUUGCCAGGGAACUACGAGCCCCAGCUUAAAACCCAAAGGACUUGGCGGUGCUUUAGACCCACCUAGAGGAGCCUGUUCUAGAACCGAUAACCCCCGUUAAACCUCACCCUCCCUUGUCACUCCCGCCUAUAUACCGCCGUCGUCAGCUUACCCUGUGAGGGACUCAUAGUGAGCAUAAUUGGCAUAGCCUAAAACGCCAGGUCGAGGUGUAGCGUACGAGAGGGGAAGAAAUGGGCUACAUUCACUGCACCAGUGAAAACGAAUGAUGCUUUGAAACAAGCAUUUAAAGGAGGAUUUAGCAGUAAGGAGGGAAUAGAGUGCCCUUCUGAAACUGGCCCUGAAGCGCGCACACACCGCCCGUCACUCUCCCCAAAAUAGUAGGCAAAUUUUAAAUAAACAAAAUCCUAGACAAAGGGGAGGCAAGUCGUAACAUGGUAAGUGUACCGGAAGGUGCACUUGGAAAAAC
rnacentral:ncRNA from 1 species